rnacentral:rRNA from 1 species
GACGAACGCUGGCGGCGUGCUUAACACAUGCAAGUCGUACGGUAAGGCCCUUUCGGGGGUCCACGAGUGGCGAACGGGUGCGUAACACGUGAGUAACCUGCCCACAACUUUGGGAUAACGCUAGGAAACUGGUGCUAAUACUGGAUAUGUGCUCCUGCUGCAUGGUGGGGGUUGGAAAGCUCCGGCGGUUGUGGAUGGACUCGCGGCCUAUCAGCUUGCUGGUGGGGUAGUGGCCUACCAAGGCGGCGACGGGAAGCCGGCCUGAGAGGGUGACCGGCCACAUUGGGACUGAGAUACGGCCCAGACUCCUACGGGAGGCAGCAGUGGGGAAUAUUGCACAAUGGGCGCAAGCCGGAUGCAGCAACGCCUCGGGCGGGAUGACGGUCUUCGGGUUGUAAACCGCUUUCAGCAGGGACGAAGCUUUUUGUGACGGUACCUGCAGAAGAAGCACCGGCUAACUACGUG